UACGGGAGGCAGCAGUGGGGAAUAUUGCACAAUGGGGGAAACCCUGAUGCAGCGACGCCGCGUGAAGGAAGAAGUAUUUCGGUAUGUAAACUUCUAUCAGCAGGGAAGAUAAUGACGUACCU
rnacentral:rRNA from 1 species